rnacentral:rRNA from 1 species
UGUCUCCUUUUUCUAAUCAGUGAAACUAAUCUUCCCGUGAAGAAGCGGGAAUAUCCCCAUAAGACGAGAAGACCCCAUGGAGCUUCAAACCCAAUUACACCCCUAACCCCUAUAACUACUUAACCCUUAGGAUUCUGUAUUAUUGGUUUUAGGUUGGGGCGACCACGGAGUACAACAAAACCUCCACAAUGAACGGAACUACUUCCUCAUCUGAGAGCUACACCUCUAAGAAUUAAAAUAUUAACAUAAAAUGAUCCAUUUUUGAUCAAUGAACCAAGUUACCCUGGGGAUAACAGCGCAAUCCAUUUCAAGAGCCCCUAUCGACAAAUGGG